AGAGUUUGAUCCUGGCUCAGGAUGAACGCUAGCUACAGGCUUAACACAUGCAAGUCGAGGGGAAACGAUAUUGGAAGCUUGCUUCCGAUAGGCGUCGACCGGCGCACGGGUGAGUAACGCGUAUCCAACCUGCCCACCACUUGGGGAUAACCUUGCGAAAGUAAGACUAAUACCCAAUGACGUCUCUAGAAGACAUCUGAAAGAGAUUAAAGAUUUAUCGGUGAUGGAUGGGGAUGCGUCUGAUUAGCUUGUUGGCGGGGUAACGCCACCAAGGCUACGAUCAGUAGGGGUUCUGAGAGGAAGGUCCCCCANAUUGGAACUGAGACCACGGUCCAAACUCCUACGGGAGGCA
rnacentral:rRNA from 1 species